GAUGAAGAACGCAGCGAAAUGCG
rnacentral:rRNA from 16 species